rnacentral:misc_RNA from 1 species
UCCCUGGUUGUAACUACGCGGGUAACUAUAUCGCGCUGUAGUAUAUACCGUGACAACUACACCGCGUAGUCUACGGGUACAGUUUAUAUGGGAGUCGGUCGUAUAACGUUUACGUCAUACGAGGCGAGCUGCUGCUUCUGCGAGUGCUUGCAUGCGGAAACGCACCCGUAACUCGUCCCUGUGUCUACGAUCGCGCUUAAUUGGCUGCGGGUUUCGGAUCCUUGAAACUCAGACGAUUUUGGAGGAUUAACUUUGGAUUUUGGAAUCCUGCUGACAUUUUUCGCGAUUUAAAACAAGUAUACCGAGUAAUUUCGUUAGUUCGCGCGGCAUCCUCUUCUCUCCUCGUGCCACGGACAAGGGAGAAAGCUAUUUCACCAUCACGAUCACUCCCGUUCGGCUGCAUCGUUCUCAAAUUGUCUAGUUUCAAAGAAUUUCUAAAACGAACAGGUUUUUUCAUCGUCUUCCAUUAUAUUUUCUAUUUCUUUAUUUUGGUAGGCACCUUUUAUUCGAUAUACACGAUUGUUUUUAUAAUCAACGUUUUUGUUCUCUUUUUUCUUAAUUCGAUUAGGUUAUAGGCUAAGCAGAGUUCUUUAAGUCAGAGGAAUAUUUUAAUCGAGCAAAAUACGAUUAUAAAUAAUUUUUAAGAAAUCUACAUUUGAAAAUACGAUGUUACUGAUUGACGUGACAAACACAGUGAAAUAUAUUGUAUGUUCAUAUUUAUCCAGAAACUUCUACUUAUCAAAAAGGAAGGUGUUUGUUCAACUAAUCUUAAUAUUGUUAGUUGUAAUUAUCAUAAUGCAGUAACAUGUAUAUAUUACUUUAUUUUCGUAGAUUCAAAAGUAGCUGGUACAGUAAGACAAAUAUCUGAAUGAUCUAUUUUUCGGAUUCUGAGGAAACUUGAUAUUAGCGAAAACGAUUUACUCGGAUGAAUCGAUGGUUGAGUAUCAAACUUGUGACGAGCUGGCGUUCAAUAAUGACGGAGGGAACCUUGUAAUGCUUCCUCGACCAUGUGGUUAUCGAUUAUAAAAUGUAAGAAUGAUCCAUCAAAAAUAGAACGCUGCAACAGUAAUACGACGCCCUCAAACACGAAGAUUCAAUUUACAAGAAGUUAAGGGUAACGUUCGAACGAUAAAUAAUUGCCCUCAAAACGUCGAAAAAAC